CGUGCAUUCCAGAAGCUCCCAGGGGACACUGGUGCUGCGGGUCUGGGGCUGGCUCUGAGACACGCUGCUCUAGGGACCUGCUUUCUUGCUGAGGGAAGGAGCUAGUGUGUGCUGUGUUAAAAGCUGAAAGAAAAUCUCCCUGAUCACUUCAGAGCCAGGCAGAGUAACAAAACAUGCAAGCAACUUAUACAAAGGUGUCUUAAUGUGGUUGACAAAGGGACUCCUUUGCUUGCCCCCGUAAAACCAGUUUACUCUAAUUCAUUUUGUCCUGGGAUUAGACGUUGUGAAUACUGAGGUGAAUAUGGCAUAGAACCUGCCUUCAAGUAGAUCACACUUGAGAGGAGAGGGAUGAGUUCCUCUGAGUGAAGACAAGACUGGUCAAGACUGAACUACAAGCACUAAUAGAGAGUGCCUACUACAAAUAAGCAAAUCAGCAAAGGAGCUUAAAGCAGAGUGAGUCCUUGGGCCAGAAAUCAUGAUUUGUUGGAAGUUCUGUUUGGAAGCACUAGAUGGUGAAGCACAGCCUUUCACUGCCUUGGGGAAGAGUCAAUCACAGAGUUUCCCAGGUGUCUUGUUUGGAUCCAAACAGUUGAUAUUUGAGCUUUCCAUCCACUAUGAAAGUAUAACACACA